AAAUAGAUGAUGCGAUUGGAGAAGAUAUUUGAUGUACGAAAUUGUUCUGAUGAUCAAAAGAAUUUCUAGAGAUUAAGGACAAUAAUAGCAAGGACAAGUUUACCAAAAAAAAAAAAAGAUUAGAAAUGAAUCAGAAUGUGAUAACAAGAGGGUCAAGACAUCAUCGAUUUAAAAAGGGAAGUCACCACAAAAGAUUCAAUCCUGUGUACGAUGCGAGUUAAAUUAUGAAAUAAGUUUGUAUUUGUAGGUGACUGGAGCCUAUUUUGCUUGUG
rnacentral:lncRNA from 1 species